UACGUAGGGGGCGAGCGUUGUCCGGAGUUACUGGGCGUAAAGCGCACGCAGGCGGUCUGCUAAGUUUGGAGUGACAGUUGGUGGCUUAACUGCCAAAGUGCUUCGAAAACUGACAGACUUGAGGGCUUCAGAGGGACACGGAAUUCCGGGUGGAGUGGUGAAAUGCGUAGAGAUCCGGAGGAACACCAAAGGCGAAGGCAGUGUCCUGGGGAGUACCUGACGCUCAGGUGCGGAAAGCCAGGGGAGCGGACGGG
rnacentral:rRNA from 1 species